rnacentral:rRNA from 1 species
AAUUAACGCUGGCGGCAUGCCUAACACAUGCAAGUCGCACGAGAAAGCCCGGUUCGCCGGGCGAGUAAAGUGGCGCACGGGUGAGUAACGCGUGGAUAAUCUACCUCGUUCUGGGGGAUAACCCAUCGAAAGGUGGGCUAAUACCGGAUACGUUUAUCUUGAUGCGAAUGAUGAUAAAGAAAGGUGGCCUCUUCAUGAAAGCUACUGUGCAGGGAUGAGCUUGCGUACCAUUAGCUAGUUGGUAGGGUAAUGGCCUACCAAGGCGACGAUGGUUAGCGGGUCUGAGAGGAUGAUCCGCCACACUGGAACUGGAACACGGACCAGACUCCUACGGGAGGCAG